rnacentral:lncRNA from 1 species
GCCUCCGAGCUCGACGCCGACCUCGGGGCCUCUAGCAGCGGCCACUUGCCACUACUCCUCUGCUCGCGUGACGCGGGCAGAGGGUCGGGGGUCAGCUCUAUCAACUCCCAAGGCGCGCCCCGCGCCGACUCUUGGGGCGUGACCCCAGAGCCCUGCGGGGUCGGGCCCUGGGCAGGCGGUCCGCUCGGCUUGUCCCCCGCGACCAGUUGGGGUGCUGCUCUCGGAUGACGAGCGUGCCCAGCCGGGGGGCCAGAAUGUACUCCUCCUCCUCUUCCUCCUCAUCCUCAUCGUCAUCGUCAUCAUCG